AGUGAAGCAUGGAGCUGAACAAUUUUCCAUGUAAUGGAUGCAAUGAUGUUUGUGGUCCCAACAGACACAACCGUCAGAAGAAGUCUCGGGUGCUCUAGACACGGAUGUUUGGGAGAGAAGACCGUGGGGGGAAAGACAAAAGAAACACCAAUAAGACAAGAGCACAGUGAAUUUAGAGCUUGCUGAAUAGGCGCACUCAACCAGAACUGUCUGUUACUCAUCUGGAUGGAAAAUUUAAACCUUAUCAUUUCUCGGCAUAGAAACCAGCAAAUGGGAGCAUAAUUCUGGUGGCGCUGCAAAUUCUAAAACAACGCAAGAUAUGAAAAUCAGCGGCAAAGUGAAUUCAGGCAUGGACUGAGAGGAAAAGCAGAGCUGUUCCGGACAGCAGCUGAAGCAAUGCCGUGAGAACAUGUAGUGAACAAGGAGGGAGUGCUGUCUGCAGAACCUUCACACCUACUAGUCGGUCUUUUAUGUUGGGUGCUGGAAAGAUGUCUCUCCAUUGGUUCCUAAUAACAAUUUGUAGUGUGUUCAUGGUGCUUUUGAACUUCAAAGGACUAGGCCAGUCUUACUAACUAAUGAUGUCUCAGGUCUGCUGUUGAGUUGAUUAGGGUAGGAUUGCUUUCUUAUAAAAG